rnacentral:lncRNA from 1 species
GAACCAAUUAACCAAUAAGGAUAAAGAGAAGGAGCAAAGGGGAAUGCAGUUGUUGUUUACCUUAGAAAAGAACAAAACAUAAUUCGAUUAAGGUCCACACCAUGAUUACACUGACAUGUUUACAUGACAUGUUCAAAAUAUUCAAUCGUCCACAGAAUAUUGAAGUACACUACUUUACUAAAAUUACAGUUAUCCAAGCAGGAACUUUUAGAGUUCAUAACAUACUAAUAUAGAUUUAAGAGUAUAUGUGAAUUUAACUAGUGUGGUUGAUUCACUGAUGUCGAUGGUUGGUCAUUUGGUGGUCCAUGAGUGGAUAUUGGUGGUUGCUAAGUUGGGUGUUGAUUGGUAGAUGUUGAUGGUUGAUCAGUUGGUCGAACAAAUUUACGGAGGAUGGCAUCCACUUGGUNAUUGUUCUCAGCACACAUUGGAAGUCGAAUGACCGGUUUUGGAGUUUCCUUCACCAGUUCAGCAGAUGGAGGAAUAAUUUCAGGGGGAAAGACCUUGACUACAUUGCGGUGAACAAUAUUGAGGUAGUGGUUCGGCCUAAAGGCACAAAAGGAUUUAACCUAUUUGAACAAAGAUCAAAAUAAUUAAUAGUUAAAUAUAUAACUAGUAUAACAAAGCACAUGAUGUGUAAUUAAAUCACAAAUUCAAAAUGAAGCACUGCAUCAUUGGUUUACAUGGUUAAGUAUCAUGACAGAUCCAACUCGAAG